rnacentral:rRNA from 1 species
CCUACGGGGGGCAGCAGUGGGGAAUAUUGGACAAUGGGGGGAACCCUGAUCCAGCCAUGCCGCGUGUGUGAAGAAGGCCCUCGGGUUGUAAAGCACUUUCAGUGAGGAAGAACGCCUGGUGGUUAAUACCCAUCAGGAAAGACAUCACUCACAGAAGAAGCACCGGCUAACUCCGUGCCAGCAGCCGCGGUAAUACGGAGGGUGCGAGCGUUAAUCGGAAUUACUGGGCGUAAAGGGCGCGUAGGUGGCUUGAUAAGCCGGUUGUGAAAGCCCCGGGCUCAACCUGGGAACGGCAUCCGGAACUGGCAAGCUAGAGUGCAGGAGAGGAAGGUAGAAUUCCCGGUGUAGCGGUGAAAUGCGUAGAGAUCGGGAGGAAUACCAGUGGCGAAGGCGGCCUUCUGGACUGACACUGACGCUGAGGUGCGAAAGCGUGGGUAGCAAACAGGAUUAGAUACCCGGGUAGUC